rnacentral:rRNA from 1 species
UACGAAGGGUGCAAGCGUUACUCGGAAUUACUGGGCGUAAAGCGUGCGUAGGUGGUUUGUUAAGUCUGAUGUGAAAGCCCUGGGCUCAACCUGGGAAUUGCAUUGGAUACUGGCAAGCUAGAGUGCGGUAGAGGAUGGCGGAAUUCCCGGUGUAGCAGUGAAAUGCGUAGAGAUGUGGAGGAACACCGAUGGCGAAGGCAGCCCCCUGGGCUAACACUGACGCUCAUGCACGAAAGCGUGGGGAGCAAACAGG